rnacentral:rRNA from 1 species
GACGAACGCUGGCGGCGUGCUUAACACAUGCAAGUCGAACGGAAAGUGCUCUUCGGAGUGACUCGAGUGGCGAACGGGUGAGUAACACGUGGGUGAUCUGCCCUGCACUUUGGGAUAAGCCUGGGAAACUGGGUCUAAUACCGAAUAGGACCACGCGCUUCAUGGUGUGUGGUGGAAAGCUUUUGCGGUGUGGGAUGGGCCCGCGGCCUAUCAGCUUGUUGGUGGGGUAAUGGCCUACCAAGGCGACGACGGGUAGCCGGCCUGAGAGGGUGACCGGCCACACUGGGACUGAGAUACGGCCCAGACUCCUACGGGAGGCAGCAGUGGGGAAUAUUGCACAAUGGGCGCAAGCCUGAUGCAGCGACGCCGCGUGAGGGAUGACGGCCUUCGGGUUGUAAACCUCUUUCAGUAGGGACGAAGCGCAAGUGACGGUACCUAUAGAAGAAGGACCGGCCAACUACGUGCCAGCCGCCGCCGUAAUAC